ACGACUGCUAAUACCGCAUACGAUCUAAUCUCGGCAUCGAGGAUGGAUGAAAGGUGGCCUCUAUUUAUAAGCUAUCACUGAAGGAGGGGAGUUGCGUCUGAUUAGCUAGUUGGAGGGGUAACGGCCCACCAAGGCAAUGAUCAGUAGCCGGUCUGAGAGGAUGAACGGCCACAUUGGGACUGAGACACGGCCCAGACUCCUACGGGAGGCAGCAUG
rnacentral:rRNA from 1 species